rnacentral:rRNA from 1 species
AAGAAAAUGACGGUACCUGACUAAGAAGCCCCGGCUAACUACGUGCCAGCAGCCGCGGUAAUACGUAGGGGGCAAGCGUUAUCCGGAUUUACUGGGUGUAAAGGGAGCGUAGACGGGACAGCAAGUCUGAUGUGAAAGGCGGGGGCUCAACCCCCGAACUGCAUUGGAAACUGUUGACCUGGAGUGCCGGAGAGGUAAGCGGAAUUCCUAGUGUAGCGGUGAAAUGCGUAGAUAUUAGGAGGAACACCAGUGGCGAAGGCGGCUUACUGGACGGUAACUGACGUUGAGGCUCGAAAGCGUGGGGAGCAAACAGGAUUAGAUACCCGUGGUACGUCCACGCCGUAAACGAUGAAUACUAGGUGUCGGGUUGCAAAGCAAUUCGGUGCCGCAGCAAACGCAAUAAGUAUUCCACCUGGGGAGUACGUUCGCAAGAAUGAAACUCAAAGGAAUUGACGGGGGUCCCGCACAAGCGGAGGAACAUGUGGUUUAAUUCGAUGAUACGCGAGGAACCUUACCGGGCUUGAAUUGCAGAGGUAAGGAUUUGGAGAC